GGGAGUUUGGCCGAGUGGUUAAGGCGUCGUGUUUAGGUCAUCAACCUCUCAAGGUUCGAUACCGUAAACCCGCGAUGGGAAACCGCGCAGGUUCGAAUCCUGCAGCUCUCA